rnacentral:rRNA from 1 species
CGUAGGGGGCGAGCGUUGUCCGGAUUUAUUGGGCGUAAAGCGCGCGUAGGCGGCCCGUUAAGUCGGAUGUGAAAAUCCGGGGCUCAACCCCGGACCUGCAUUCGAUACUGGCGGGCUAGAGGCAGACAGGGGGAGAGUGGAAUUCCUGGUGUAGCGGUGAAAUGCGCAGAUAUCAGGAGGAACACCGGUGGCGAAGGCGGCUCUCUGGGUCUGUCCUGACGCUCAGGCGCGAAAGCUAGGGGAGCAAACAGGAUUAGAUACCCUGGUAGUCCUAGCCGUAAACGUUGGGUGCUAGGUGUGGGGCGGCGAUUGACCCGCCCUGUGCCGUAGCUAACGCAUUAAGCACCCCGCCUGGGGAGUACGGCCGCAAGGCUA